GAGACAGUGCAGAGUUCUCAGUGGAAAUUGAAGCCCAUGCCGUCACUUGAGAGUCGCACUGCAUGUCAUCGCCUCUCUCUCUCUCUCUCUCUCUCCCUCGCUCUAUCUCUUUCUCAUGAACACCCUGAUCGCAGUCACCGACAGUGAGAUCAAUGGUCGCAGGGGUUCCUUUUUAGCUCAGAGAGGCGAGCAAUGAGAGGAGAGAAGGGAAAAAGGAAGUUACUACGUUGUCAUUUCUGCCGUCUCUUUUUGUCUAUAAAGAAGAUAUUGACGGAAGAAAACGCUCACAUCCAAAACAUCUCUCUCUCUCUCUCUCUCUCUCUCUAAUACGAUUCCCACGCACGAUGCCACAACGGCUGCCUCGCAGCUCUCAUUUCCGGAGCCGUUUUCCUGGGCAGAGAGCCAGUGUCUCGUCCACUGGGUGGCCUGUGCAUGUCUAAUUCAUCUUCUCUGAUGUGUUGUUGCGGAGAGAGUGAGGAAGGGAAGGGAAAGGCGCCACCUUGAUGAGUUCUUCACUGCCAAAAUCGGAUUUUUAUGAGAUGGGAGGUUCCGUAGAUGGUUUCCGGUCUUUAGCGAUGGGGAGUACUGAGGGCAUUUUGGCUGGGUAAAGAAGAAGCCUUCAAACAAACACACCGAAAAAAGAUGAGACCUUUAGUUGGAAUCGAUGCCUGCGAUUAACUGAUAUCAGUCACUGUCUCUUUUUGUUUGCAUUGGUUUUGUGUUCUAAUUUACCUCAAAUUUGUAUUCCCUCUCGGUUCUGUAAAGAUCCAAUCUUUACAUCAUUCAAAGUUCUGCAACUGAGGAGGAGGAGGAGGAGGACAAGAAGAGAUUCCAGUGCCAAACUCAGCUCUUCACCUCCGCAGAGAUCUCAAUGUACCAACCAAACAUCUUUCUUUGGAAGAGAUCCAGAACAGUCGGUGGCAAACAAGGCCUGAUGUCAUCUUUCCAUGGCGGCAGCAGCUGUGGCAAGCCCGCAGCUUCCUCACUCUUGCCCUCUGCAAGGCUCUCUGAGGCUGCCAUGAGCCCAACCUCCACACCAGAAACCAGAAACUUGUCUUCCAUUGGCAAUCAUAUCCCCCCUUUUGAUGCGAUUACCACUAGCAGCGCCUCUGUUUCAGACACCAAGCAGCAUCCAUGGAGAAAUCGAGGCUCGAGACCCACUGGGCUCGGCAUCAUCGACGCUCUCAGUGACGAACAGUUCGACACCAAGCCACAGCGCAGUAUGGUUCUGCUCGGAACAAAGCUGAAGAUCCAAAUUCCUUCCCUUUGUCCGACCUCCAACUCGCCGGUUGGGUCCCCAAUCGAGUUCGGCAUCAAGAACAGAGACUCCCAGUUGGCUCUCCUUUCUCCUGCCCGGAGCUCUCCCGGCUCGGAGAUGCUAGCUUCCUCCCCUCAGGUCUUCGCCGGAAGCAACUUCUCCAUGAGCGAGAUGGAGCUCUCGGAGGACUACACCUGCGUGAUCUUUCAUGGCCCGAAUCCGAGGACUACACACAUCUUCGACAGCUGCGCAGUGGAGCAGUGCGGAGAUGGCUUCACUCGAUCAACCAAAAGCCGCAGCUUUGCAGCUGAUAGCAGAGGGUAUCCUAUGAAUGAUUCCUUGAGCUUCUGCUACGCAUGCAAGAAGAAUGUUGAGCAAGGAAAGGAAACCUUCAUGUAUAAAGGUGAGAAAGCAUUUUGCAGUAGUGAAUGCUGCAUCAAAGGGAUGCUUGAUGAGUAUGGGAUAGAGACAAGUGCUCAGAGGAGUCAUCACUCACGAUGUGAUCCAUGCUUCUAAUUACCACAGCAAAUUUGAUCUCCAAUUAAGCCUUUUUUUUUUAGUGGUUUGUGGAUCCUAAUCAAAUGGGGAUGGAAGUGAUCUUGAAGAACCAAAUCAUUCAUUCACUUCGUUGGUGUUCUCCAUGAGUUUUGCUUUCAGAGAAGUGAUUUCUCUAAGAAAGCUGGUAGGAUCAAAUCCAAGACAGACAUUUGUUGGUGUUAAAACAUGUUCUUACGAUGUGAUUUCUUCUCUAAGAAAGUUUGUGGGAUCAAAUCCAAAGUCCAGAAAUUUAGGAUACGUCUGCAAGCACAAAAACCAAAUGCCACACACAGCAUUUCCACAGUCAGAUGUCAUCGGAGUUUGGGCCGGUAGCCAGUAAACUAUACAUCACCACAUCUCUGCUCUUCCCAUGCAACAUGACGUACUUUCUCAGCAGCCCUUCUCUCAGAAACCCGGCCUUCUCCAGCACCCGCUGCGACGCCGGAUUUUCCACCUCGGCGAUCGCCUCCAGCCUCUCCAAGUGCGGCCACUCCUCGAGGAGAGAGGAAACGGCCGCCCUGAGCGCAGCCGUGGCUAUGCCGCGGCCCCAAUGUUGGUAGGCCAGGCGGUAGGCGACGGAGGCCUUGAAGCGCUCCUCGCCCUGGCCGGGCUUGGCGUUGAUGGAGCCCACGGGGCGGCCGUCGACGCAGAUGGCUCGGUACCAUGGGUGCGGCAGGACGUGGUCCGCCAGGUACCGCCGCGCGUCCUCCUCGCUUGUGCACGGGCCGCGGCGCUGGAAGCGGGUGACGCGGGGGUCCGACGCCCAUGUCAUGAAGGCGCCGACGUCGGAGAGGUCGAAGGGCCUCAAGGUGAUCUCUGGUUCCUGCUUCCUGUGAUCGUGGUUGGGUGGGACGGCGGAGGAGUCCGUUUGCAUUCUUUGGGGACGAGAGAAGCUUCGUAGAGAGAUGUUGUUGAAAUGCGAGGAGGAACGAAGGAGAGAGAGCAGAAGAGAUCGGUAGCUAAAGUGUUGUUUUAUCAAACACUUGUCAAGUGGCUUUUGGCCGCCAAGGUGGACUAAUUGACUUGUUGCAGAUGCGUGCUGGACUGCAACCCUUAAACAAUCCAUUGGGACUUCUCCCACAGAUUAUAUUUAUUUUAAACUCUUAAGAUCUAA